GCCAGGUGUAGUGGUGCAUGCCUAUAAUCCCAGCAACUCAGAAGGCUGAGGCAGGAGGAUUGCAAGUUCAAAGCCAGCCUCAGCAAUUUAGUGAGGCCCUAAGGAACUUAGUGAGACCCUGUCUCUU
rnacentral:sRNA from 1 species